CUGACUUAUCGUUCACAGAACCAAACCAAAACAUUAUUCAUUUAAUAAAAUAAUUGAAGUCAUGGUUCUCAUGAUCCGAGUAAAUCAUAGUUUCAGUUGUAAAUAAUUCUAAAUAUAAUGUAUAAUGCGGUAAUAAAAGAUAUGCAAAAUUAAAAAAGGGUAAAUAUUACUUAUAGAAGAAAAACGAUGUGUGUAUCAAAAGAAAAGGGGAAUUAAAAUAUGAGAUAGAACUAAGUAAAAUGAUGGCCCAAAAAAAUAAAAACUAAGUAGAGUGAGGGUAUAGGAUUCGAUUUACUUUACGAACUUCAAAUGAUUCUAUUUGAACUUUGGAAUUUGAUUUCUGUAACACAAAAUUUCAGUUGCAUUUUCCUAACUUUAUGAUAUCUUUUCCUCAGAAAAAGCCACUGAACUUUGUGACUUUGUCAAGCCACCUUCAUUAUUUGUUCAUUCUCAAUUGAUUUUACCACUCAUAACGGAGACAAAGAACAUUCUCUCGUUUUAUUUCACCAUUGUCUCCCACAUCCACAGUAAAAAUACCUUCUAUUUCACCGUAUUUAAUUUUCUAGCAUUUUCUAGCAAUUGUCUGAACUUAGUCGAGCUAACUAGCUAGAACAAUAUAAAUGCUACCCUCUUUGUAUUCAAAUUUGAAUCUCGGCAUAGUUUAUGUUGAGAAUGAAUCCAUAUUGUUGGAAGAAUGAACAAUAAUUGCAUGGGCUUAUAAGUAAGUUGGAUUACUUUUCAUAUUGGUGAAGCUUGAGUUAAAUAAAUUUAAUGUAAAAUAUCACUUGUAUCAAAAUAAUGUAUUCUUUUUUGAGGGAAUUUUGAUCUUAUUGAGAUAGGAAAAGACAUACACGAGGGUAGCCAAAACAAACAUUGAGUGACCCCUAGAAUACAGCCAUUGCUGGGGCUUCCAACCCAGACUCGAGGAAAAAAAGAGCCACUAACAAUAUAAUAAGGCAGAAUUCAAACUGAGACUAAGCUAUCCUCUAAAAUUAAGUCUGCAACUUGGUCAGAUGGUUCCUCGAACCACGUCUUAUCCUGAAGAAGCCCAACCCCAGCUCGCUCCAAACUGUGUGCUACCUGGUUAGCCUUUCUUUGAACAUGGUUGAUUCUUAUGCUGGGGAAACCUUGGAGAAACAUUCCGAUUUAACUAGUUUUGUACAAACUUAUAGCUCUAGCCGUAGAAUAAUUAUCCCUCGUCAUAGCCAGAAUCCGACUCCUUUUCUUCCUAGUUCCCUUCCAAAUAAAGGGCAAAAUGAAAAUUAAUCUUUUCAUUAAUUAGGUCUUAGUCAGAUACAUUUUUGUUUCUUUUCUUUUUAGUAGUAUUAGUCAGAUACAUGUUAUAUACAUGUUGUGCAUAAUAAUUUAUAUAUAUAGAAAUGGGGAAUAUUAAAAGCUUGUCAUAUAGGAAUACAACUAUUAAGCAUGACAUAACCUGCUUCUUCUAGAACGAAUUCAAACAAAAGAGGACCAUUCAUACAAUUUGUGUGGGAUACCACUGCCCACUGGUAUGGCUUUGCAUGGAGUUGAAUUAUUGCAAUUUCCAGGUAUGGCGAAGUCACUUUGUCUCAAAAUUUGCCGUGCCAUUUUUUGUAAUUUAACCAUUUAUGGUAUUUGCAGUGGUUAAACAGCUACAUCCAUUCAUGGUAAUUAAAGCAAAGUUAGUAGGUGAAAACUUCAAGUUAGUGUAUGCAUCGUAAGAAAAUUCAAAUCGUAAUACAUGAUCUUAGGCACUAAUCUAAAAAUCUCCGCCUAGUGCCGCCUAGUGCCGCCUAGGAGAUAUGCGGCUGGCCACCGCUUCAAUAAAUGUCUAGGUGUUUGAAAAUUAAGAAAUGGCGCAUAGACCUGUUGAGGUGCCUGCCUAGACCGCCCAAACCCGCCUAGGUUGCGAUUCAUUUAGGCAUAAAAUAGAUAACUUUCAUUUUGCAUUUUAUAUUUUUUUUUCAAUAAAUUGUAAGAAACCUGUUGAAUACUUAAUGAGUACACAUUAUAUGCUUGUUCCCCAUGUUUCCAUUAUGUUCCAAUACUUCAUAAUAUAUGUGUCAUUCUAUUUUGUAGUUUAUGAUGAAAUUAUAUAUAUUUUAAGUAUAAACAUACACUUAUUUACAUGAAAUAUAAUAGAUUUAGUUAAAUCUGCCUAGUCUGCCUAGGUGCCCGCCUAGACCCCGCCUAGGCGCUAGGCCCCAACUUGCCGACCGACUAGCGUAACGUCUUUUAGAAACUUGAUCUUAAGGCACUGUGUUUUGUGUUUGAUAAGAAAGUGCAUUGACAGAAUACGAGCCAUUGCUUUUCACACUCAAAGUUAGGUGUUAAUAUCAUAAGUGACAAAAACAAAACCAUUGGACAACAACUCCUGCAUAUAAAUUACAUUUAUAGUGAUUUAAAUUGAAGACUCUGGCUUAUCACUUGCAGCCAUGUUUCCAAAUUAGCUGCAUUUCUUGUGUUUUAUUAAAUUUCAGGUAUGCUUUGGCUAGUCAGAUUCCACUUUGCCAUUUAAGAAAAUGUCAACGUCGAUACCAAAUAAAAUUUAGGCUAAUAUCCUCUUAUCAAAAUUAUGUAAUAAUGUUUUCUUAUCAAACUUAUGUAUUCAUAAAAUAUAUAUGUUUAAAUUGUAAAUCUCUGAACUACAUAUAUAAUAUAAAUUCAUUGUCCAACAAUAUAAAUAGGAAAAUGUUAUUCACAAACCUAUUUUUACUUCCCACACACUUUUAUUAACUUUUGGUCAUUGAUCUUUUUCAAUUCAUUUGAUCUAAUAGGCAAAAAUCAAGAAAGGUAUGUGAACAAUAAAAAUGAGUACUAUAUAAAUAUAAGCAUCUUACAAUGCGAGAUAACUAGCUCGGUGGAAAAGAUAUGAUAAUCGAAUAUCUAUUUUUCUGGAACAGUGCAAGUUUUAUGGUAGCCAUAAGAUUAUAAUUAGAGCAGAUAAAAUGACUUAUUUUUUCAUUUCACGUCAAAGUUUACAAAGCACAAUGCUUGAGAGCCAUUGGCUGACCCGUGGGUGUGAAAUUUUUCGUCUGGCCUCCAUGGAUUCUUUCAAGUCUCCUCUCUUCCUGUUUUCACCACUACUGACAGUUGAGUUUCAUACGAGCUAGCUGCAUCCCUAUCUAGUAUAGUGCACUAUAAUCUAUACCUAGUAGCACGUACUGUCUGAAUCUAAGAAUUCACUAAUCAAUAUAUUUGAAUAUUUUUGUUUAGUAAUGGUAGUUCCAAUUUUUAGACUAGAUUUGUAAAUCAUAUGUUGUGUUACCAAUAAUAAAUAACCAUGUUAAUCAAUAUUUAAGUGAUAAUCCAAUCAUCAACAAGUACGUCAUAUAGUUUACAAAUACAUAGUCUCCUUAACAUUACCUUUUUUUUUAGUUUGUGAUGAGUUUGAAACAUGAUGAGAUUAGUCAUUGAGAUCAUGACAUUGUUUUGGUAAGUAAAAGAUGGUAUGGUAGCCACUUCGAACCCUAACCUAAUAAAUCAAUCUUAUCGUCUUCAUUAAGUUGGAUUUACAAAUCUUAUCAUCUUUGUUAAAUUCGUUAAGUUGGAUAAACCAAAAAACAAAAAAAUUAACAAAAUAUAGAGCAUUGGCCAAUUCAUGUCAAAUUUAAGCACAUAAGUACACGUGGUCCUUGCCAUCAAAAGAGGCUCAUGAGCUUAUUGUUCAUAAUUCUAAGUAGAAAACAAGGCCUAAUCUAUACAUUCUGUCGAAUUUAGACAAUUUAAUCUAUUUUAACUUCGACAUUAGACCUUUUUCUCCAUAUAAGUGAAAAAUCAUGAGUCAUGAUAUUGAUAGGCAGAAUUGGACGUGCAUACAAUAUCCAUGAACUGUCGUGUAGGCGUUGAACGCCGCCACCAGCACCUGCAAUAUCCAUGAUUAAUUUAACAUGGUGAUGACUGACAUGAUCAUAGUUUUUGUUUUAUUGUGUCACAAGUGAUCCUAGUGGAAGACAAAGACCUAUCAAAGUCUAACCAGGGGAGGGAGGGUGGCGUAAGAGCAUUAUUAUUAGCCUUUCACGAGCAAUCAUUUCAGUUAGGUCAUCCCACAGAGCAGAGGAAAACAUGUUUGUGUUCCUCAAUAUUUUUACCUUUUAGGUUCUGUGCCACAGUUACCCAACUCAAGUGCCGAAAUUACCAAUAACUUUUAUUUAUUUGAAAAAUCGGCCGUUGUAGAAAGAACUCGAAGACGUGGCUGAAAUAGGAAAACUUCAGCUCGAUCCGUUCUAAUUAUCACUACUAUCGAUAUCAUUAGUCUAAAGCUUGUUACUUUGGAUUGGACUUGAGAGCAGUUCUUUUUGGUGCUGGGUUUUUGGAAAUUGGUUAGUUGGGUUUGGGGUGUGUACUUGGUUGACCAAGUGGAUGAAUUUGACGAAAAUCUUUUGAUAUUUGUCAUCUGGACGGUGGUAAAAAGAACUGCGAGGUACUUGAUAAAUUCAUAGACGUUGUAAAAUCUGCAAAUAGGAGGAGCUAUUAUUUAACAACCGAUGCGUUGGAAAUUGACCACGACUUAUCGACUAUCAUAAUAAUUAAAUCCUAACAAUUAUUUUUCAUCAUUACUAAUAAUAUUCUGAACAUAUAAACAACAUGUCCAACACAUACCAACAAUAUCAACAAUAUAAUCAAGGAAAAAUUAGUAUCCGGUCCUUAGUUCUUACUGUUCAUUGACUAAGACCUUAUUAGUUCUCAAAUUUUGAUUCAAGUCCCUAUCAUUAAUGUG
rnacentral:lncRNA from 1 species